CACUGGUUAAAUAGCUUUGUCCCGAGACCUCGUUACGGAUAGUUACAUCAUGGUUGGUAAAGGGUGCGGGAGAAAUCCUCGUUCUCCCCGCAGAAAUACUGACAUUCUAUCGGACAUGGUUCUUUCAUAAACUAGGUCUAUAUGUCAUAAAACAAAACGCAGUUAUUUUUGCAGUAAUUCCGGAAUAUACACUACUAUCGUGCGUAUCAUCUGUUAUGGAUACAGAAACAUUGUAAUUUUCUUCUGGCACAAUCUGCCCUCGAGGAAGUUAUCAUGUCAGUGAAAGCUGUGUGUGGGGGAGUGUCUGGUCUGGCUCCACUCCAGGCUCGGGUCCAUGACUUCCUCUGCAGCUCUGCAGACCCACAGAGACAGGGGGCAGAGAGCUCAGUGGCGCCACUCUGCCUGCCAGACCUCAAACUGCAGCCUGCAGCAGAAUUGACCAGCACUGGGCUGGGAGAGAGAGGGGAAGUGGAAGGGAGGGAGGGGAGAGCUGAGAGAGAGAGAGAAUAUGUGAGGGGGAGAGAGGGGAGGGCAACGAGAAAGGAGGAAGAGAACGGGAGGACAGACAGAGACAGAGAGAAAGAGGAGUAUUAUCCUCUCCCUCCUCCCCCCUCCGAUGUCCUCGCUGCUGAUGGUCGGCCCAGAACGCUCCACCUCCUGCCUGAUUUCAACCAAUCACUGGCCGAGGCUCGUAAAGCUCGCUACAUCCGUUACCGAGGUCGACCCCCCUGCGAGAGGGAGCUGUCAAUCACUGAGAUAUUCGCCAGGGGCAACACAGGUUCCAUCCACAGAUUAACUCUGUAA
rnacentral:lncRNA from 13 species